rnacentral:rRNA from 1 species
CCUACGGGAGACAGCAGUGGGGAAUAUUGCACAAUGGGGGAAACCCUGAUGCAGCGACGCCGCGUGAGUGAAGCAGUAUUUCGGUAUGUAAAGCUCUAUCAGCAGGGAAGAAAUAGCGACCUUUGGGUCGCCAGACGGUACCUGACUAAGAAGCCCCGGCUAACUACGUGCCAGCAGCCGCGGUAGUACGUAGGGGGCAAGCGUUAUCCGGAUUUACUGGGUGUAAAGGGAGCGUAGACGGCAGCACAAGUCUGAAGUGAAAUGCCGGGGCUUAACCCCGGAACUGCUUUUGAAACUGUGCAGCUAGAGUGCAGGAGAGGUAAGUGGAAUUCCUAGUGUAGCGGUGAAAUGCGUAGAUAUUAGGAGGACCACCAGUGGCGAAGGCGGCUUACUGGACUGUAACUGACGUUGAGGCUCGAAAGCGUGGGGAGCAAACAGGAUUAGAUACCCCUGUAGUC